ensembl:piRNA 21ur-3708 ncRNA
UGACAAUGUAGCGUUAGCAAU